rnacentral:rRNA from 1 species
GAUGAACGCUGGCGGCGUGCCUAAUACAUGCAAGUCGAACGAACAGAUGAAGAUCGUGGGGCUGUGACGUUAGCAACGGACGGGUGAGUAACACGUGGAUAACCUACCUAUAAGACUUGAGUAACUUCGGGAAACCGGAGUUAAUACCGGGUAAGAUAUUGAACCGCAGGGUGCUGGAGUGAAAUACGGUUUUGCUGUGACUUAGCGAUCGAUCCGCUCCGCAUUGGCUAGUUGGUAAGGUAACGGCUUACCAAGGCAACGAUGCGUAGCCGACCUGAGAGGGUGAUAGGCCACCUUGGAACUGAGCCACGGACCAGACGACUAAGGGAGGCAGCAGUCGGGAAUCGUCCGCAAUGGGCGGAAGCCUGACGCAGCAAGGCCACGCGAGUGAUGACGGUCUCGGGAUCGUAAAACCCUCUUAUUAGGUAAGAACAACUGUCUAAGUAAAUAUAGCCAUCGUGACGGUACCUACACAGAAAGCAACGGCUAACUACGUG